CCAAUAGCGUAUAUUAAAGUUGUUGCAGUUAAAAAGCUCGUAGUUGAAUUUCGGGAUUGACGUGAUGGUCAUGCCUUAAGGGGUAUGAACUGUCGCUGUUGAUUUCUCACCUUCUGGAGAAACUUGAUGUCCUUUAUUGGGUGUCUUGCGGAUCCAGGACCUUUACCUUGAAAAAAUUAGAGUGUUUAAAGCAGGCAUUUUUGCUCGAAUACAUUAGCAUGGAAUAAUAGAAUAGGACGGCAUGGUUCUAUUUUGUUGGUUUCUAGGAUCACCGUAAUGAUUAAUAGGGAUAGUUGGGGGCAUUAGUAUUCAAUUGUCAGAGGUGAAAUUCUUGGAUUUAUUGAAGACUAACUACUGCGAAAGCAUUUGCCAAGGAUGUUUUCAUUAAUCAAGAACGAAAGUUAGGGGAUCGAAGACGAUCAGAUACCGUCGUAGUUCUGACCAUAAACGAUGUCGACUAGCGAUCCGCGGCCGUUGUUCAUAUGACUUCGCGGGCAGCCUUCG
rnacentral:misc_RNA from 1 species